rnacentral:rRNA from 1 species
UCCCAGCGGUCCGAGUCGCAGCCACAAUUAUUGGGUCUAAAAUAUCCGUAGCUUGCCUUGCAAGUCUCAUGUGAAAUCUGGCCUCUUAAGGGUCGGGCGUGCAUGAGAUACUGCUUGGCUUGAGACCGGGAGACGUAAAGAGUACGUAUAGAGUAGCGGUAAAAUGCGUUGAUCCUAUAUGGACUAACAAUAGCGAAGGCACUUUACGAGAACGGAUCUGACAGUGAGGGAUGAAGGCUAGGGGCGCAAAGUG